rnacentral:rRNA from 1 species
UACGUAGGGUGCAAGCGUUGUCCGGAAUUAUUGGGCGUAAAGAGCUCGUAGGCGGUCUGUCGCGUCGGCUGUGAAAACCCGGGGCUCAACCCCGGGCCUGCAGUCGAUACGGGCAGACUAGAGUGCGGUAGGGGAGACUGGAAUUCCUGGUGUAGCGGUGAAAUGCGCAGAUAUCAGGAGGAACACCGGUGGCGAAGGCGGCACUCUGGGCCGGUACUGACGCUGAGGAGCGAAAGCGUGGGGAGCAAACAGG